rnacentral:lncRNA from 1 species
GCUGCCCCUGUCUGGCCUUCCCUGCCCUUGGGGACAACCUGGCACUGGCUCACCUGCUCCUGACAGCUGAUGGCAGCAUUGAGGAAUUCUCGGUGGAGGGGCCUCACUGGACUGGAAUACUCCCCUGCUCCUCUGGGAUCUUCCAAGGCAUCUUGUUUCACGAUGGAAACCCUUGAUAAGGAGACGUGAGCCUGCCAGGGACCAAGCUGAGAUCCCUACCUGGCUCCGUGUCUCUUGUUGGAGAGCUGGGGCUCCCUGCCAGCCUGGGCUAUGUUCCUGGGCCUGGAACAGUGCAUGGGACCCCUGGCAGGGACCCCUGUGUGGGGGCAGCCACAGAGUCAUCCUAGAGGGCUUGGGCACCAUGCCCCCCUUUCUGGCCAUGCUGAGAAGGUUCUGGCCAAGGCUCACCUGAACAAAGAGCAUUGUUUAACAGAGCUGAGUCAAACCAUGUUGCAUCCUACAACCCAAGAGUGACCCAUGGCAGGGCCAGUGCAAGCACUGUGCCUGUGGCCUGUCAGUCCUGGCCUUUUGGCUCAGUGGCCACGGGCACCCGGUGCCCCAGCAGGGGCCACUGCUGGACAUGGUGUUCAGCCAGUGCUGCUUGUUCAGCUGGGACCAAGCCCUUCACGUGCUCCAAGGGAUGCAAGGCUGAGUGGGGAUGUGGUUGCUGCUCCCUGCUCACCAACCAGUUCUGCUCGAGCAGCUCUGGACAGGGAGGCAUCGCUCAAACUCCGGGUUGGGAAGGAGGUUCCUGGCUCCUCCGGCAGGAAGAGCGGGGAUUUGUGGGGAGCAGCCGUGCGGGACGUGGCCGCAGCCGAGGUCAGCGGCUCCAGUCACCCGGCAUCACCCUGCGGGUGCCAGCUUGGCGUUUAGGAGACCAUGACUGCCUUCCCUUGUCGAUCCACUCCUUAAUGUUUCCGGUAUCGUUGAGUAGAAACAAUCUGACCUCAGGGUAAAAAAUCAGCGGUGGCCUCAAUUGCUUUGUGUUUUGUGUAAACAGCCUCACCGGCAGAACAACCUUCUCCUUCAGCCUGGAGAGACAACACGCUCUUGUCCGGCUGCUGGCUCCCGCGGGGCUGACACACACCUUCGACUCUUCCUAUUUGCGUGACCCUAAUUUCGGGAUUUCGGACUGUAGUGACCCCGGGAUUCCCUGGGGCAGCGUGAGGGGGAACUCGCGUCCCGGCAGCGGGACUCGGCUGCUCCAGGACAUGCUGCCCCGAAGCCAGAGGCAGAAACUCCGAGGAAAUGUUUAAACCAGGGCCGUUCCUGCUCCGGCUGCGUUAGUCACAGCAGCCCCCGAGCCCCACGGGGGCGGCGACAGGGAAGGGGACAGCAAGGAGCUCCUGGAUCCGGGUGGGAGCCGGGCGGUGUCCCCCGGCAGGGAGGGGACAUCCCGGCACCCCGGGGUGACCGGGAGCAGUGCCGGGGCGCUCGCCCCUGCUCGCAGUCCGUGCCUGCAGCUGCACCGGGUCCGCUGCCCGGGGCGGUGUCC